rnacentral:rRNA from 1 species
CAAUAGCGUAUAUUAAAGUUGUUGCAGUUAAAAAGCUCGUAGUUGGAUUUCGGGGCAGCCUGGCUGGUCCGCCGCAAGGCGAGUACUGGUCAGCCGCCCUUCCUCUCGAAAGCCCCGACUGCUCUUUAUUGCAGUGGUCGGGUAGUUCGGGACGUUUACUUUGAAAAAAUUAGAGUGUUCAAGGCAGGCCUACGCCUGAAUACAUUAGCAUGGAAUAAUGGAAGAGGACCUCGGUCCUAUUUUGUUGGUUUCCAGGACCGAAGUAAUGAUUAAGAGGGACAGUUGGGGGCAUUCGUAUGUAAUUGUCAGAGGUGAAAUUCUCGGAUUUAUGAAAGACGAACAACUGCGAAAGCAUUUGCCAAGGAUGUUUUCAUUAA